AAAUUGUGUUUUGCAUUUAGACUGUGUUGCUCACAUACAACAUGUGGCCAAAGAGCAACUUGAGAUCAUAGUACUGGUGCAGUGAUGUUGAAAGACAAGCUUACCACUGACCAGCCUCCAAACUCUCAAACAUGG